rnacentral:ncRNA from 2 species
GUCCCGAAGCGGGGGUACCGUGGCCGAAAUGCGGUUGAGACACACUCUUCGAACCUGAUCCGGUUUAUACCGGCGUAGGAAAGCUUCGUGGACCACGCC